CGUGUAGGCGGCUCAUCAAGUCUGGUGUGAAAUCGCAGGGCUUAACCCUGCAUAGGCGCUGGAAACUGGUGGGCUUGAGUUCUUGAGGGGAAGCUGGAAUUCCAGGUGUAGGGGUGAAAUCUGUAGAUAUCUGGAAGAACACCGGUGGCGAAGGCGAGCUUCUAUCAGAGGACUGACGCUGAGGCGCGAAAGCGUGGGGAGCAAACAGGAUUAGAUACCCUGGUAGUCCACGCUGUAAACGAUGUGCACUAGGCGUGGGGCACGCACGUGUUCUGUGCCGUAGUUAACGUGAUAAGUGCACCGCCUGGGGAGUAUGCUCGCAAGGGUGAA
rnacentral:rRNA from 1 species